GAUGAACGCUGACAGAAUGCUUAACACAUGCAAGUCUUUGGCGAAGCUGUGCUUGCACAGCCUAGCCAAGGCGGACGGGUGAGUAACGCGUAAGGAACUUGCCCUGCAGUCAGGGAUAACAGACGGAAACGACUGAUAAGACCUGGUAAAGUCAGGCGGACUCAUGUCCAGCCUGAUGAAAAGAGAUGCUGCAGGAGAGCCUUGCGUCCUAUUAGCUUGUUGGUGGGGUAACGGCCCACCAAGGCGAUGAUAGGUAGCCGGCCUGAGAGGGUGGACGGCCACAAGGGGACUGAGAUACGGCCCUUACUCCUACGGGAGGCAGCAGUGGGGAAUAUUGGACAAUGGGGGCAACCCUGAUCCAGCAAUUCUGUGUGCACGAUGAAGGUUUUCGGAUUGUAAAGUGCUUUCAGCAUGGAAGAAAAAAAUGACGGUACCUGCAGAAGAAGCGACGGCUAAAUACGUG
rnacentral:rRNA from 1 species